GAUGAACGCUGGCGGCGUGCCUAAUACAUGCAAGUCGAGCGAACGGACGAGAAGCUUGCUUUUCUGAUGUUAGCGGCGGACGGGUGAGUAACACGUGGAUAACCUACCUAUAAGACUGGGAUAACUUCGGGAAACCGGAGCUAAUACCGGAUCAUAUUUUGAACCGCAUGGUUCAAAAGUGAAAGACGGUCUUGCUGUCACUUAUAGAUGGAUCCGCGCUGCAUUAGCUAGUUGGUAAGGUAACGGCUUACCAAGGCAACGAUGCAUAGCCGACCUGAGAGGAUGAUCGGCCACACUGGAACUGAGACACGGUCCAGACUCCUACGGGAGGCAGCAGUAGGGAAUCUUCCGCAAUGGGCGAAAGCCUGACGGAGCAACGCCGCGUGAGUGAUGAAGGUCUUCGGAUCGUAAAACUCUGUUAUUAGGGAAGAACAGAUGUGUAAGUAACUGUGCACAUCUUGACGGUACCUAAUCAGAAAGCCACGGCUAACUACGUG
rnacentral:rRNA from 1 species